GACGAACGCUGGCGGCGUGCUUAACACAUGCAAGUCGAACGCGCCUGUCCUCUGGGUUUCUGGGGGGUGGGUGAGUGGCGAACGGGUGAGUAACACGUGAGUAACCUGCCCCCUUCUUCGGGAUAACGGUCUGAAAGGGCUGCUAAUACCGGGUAUUCACUGGUCUCCGCAUGGGGUCUGGUGGAAAGGUUUUUUUCUGGUGGGGGAUGGGCUCGCGGCCUAUCAGCUUGUUGGUGGGGUGAUGGCCCACCAAGGCUUUGACGGGUAGCCGGCCUGAGAGGGUGACCGGUCACAUUGGGACUGAGAUACGGCCCAGACUCCUACGGGAGGCAGAAGUGGGGAAUAUUGCACAAUGGGCGCAAGCCUGAUGCAGCGACGCCGCGUGAGGGAUGGAGGCCUUCGGGUUGUGAACCUCUUUCGCCCGUGGUCAAGCCGCGACGUGGGUCGUGGUGAGGGUAGUGGGUAAAGAAGCGCCGGCUAACUACGUG
rnacentral:rRNA from 1 species